GAUGAACGCUGGCGGCGUGCUUAACACAUGCAAGUCGAACGGUGAAAGAGAGCUUGCUCUCUGGAUCAGUGGCGAACGGGUGAGUAACACGUGAGCAAUCUGCCCCUGACUCUGGGAUAAGCGCUGGAAAUGGCGUCUAAUACCGGAUACGAGCUGCGAAGGCAUCUUCAGCAGCUGGAAAGAACUUCGGUCAGGGAUGAGCUCGCGGCCUAUCAGCUAGUUGGUGAGGUAACGGCUCACCAAGGCGUCGACGGGUAGCCGGCCUGAGAGGGUGACCGGCCACACUGGGACUGAGACACGGCCCAGACUCCUACGGGAGGCAGCAGUGGGGAAUAUUGCACAAUGGGCGAAAGCCUGAUGCAGCAACGCCGCGUGAGGGACGACGGCCUUCGGGUUGUAAACCUCUUUUAGCAGGGAAGAAGCGAAAGUGACGGUACCUGCAGAAAAAGCACCGGCUAACUACGUG
rnacentral:rRNA from 1 species